CAGUAGCCGCGGGAAUACGUAGGUGGCAAGCGUUGUCCGGAAUUAUUGGGCGUAAAGCGCGCGCAGGUGAUUUAAUAAGUCUGAUGUGAAAGCCCACGGCUCAACCGUGGAGGGUCAUUGGAAACUGUUAAACUUGAGUGCAGGAGAGAAAAGUGGAAUUCCUAGUGUAGCGGUGAAAUGCGUAGAGAUUAGGAGGAACACCAGUGGCGAAGGCGGCUUUUUGGCCUGUAACUGACACUGAGGCGCGAAAGCGUGGGGAGCAAACAGGAUUAGAUACCCCUGUAGUCCCUGUCUCUUAUAU
rnacentral:rRNA from 1 species